CAAGUUGAAACACCGGUUCCCGUACUACCACUGAAGUUAAGCAACGUCGGACCAAGUCACUAGCUAGAUGGGUGGUCGCUAGGGAAUACCAUGUGUUGUAAU